rnacentral:rRNA from 13 species
CCGGGAGAUAGCUGGUUCACCGCGAAAACUAUUUAGGUAGUGCGUCGUGUGAUUACCGCCGGGGGUAGAGCACUGGAUGGGCUAGGGGGGCGCGAGCCUUACCAAACCUAACCAAACUCCGAAUACCGGUGAGUACAGCACGGCAGACAGACCAUGGGUGCUAAGGUCCGUGGUCGAGAGGGAAACAGCCCAGACCUCCAGCUAAGGUCCCCAAGUUACGGCUAAGUGGGAAAGGAUGUGAGGAGGCCAAGACAGCCAGGAGGUUGGCUUAGAAGCAGCCAUCCUUUAAAGAAAGCGUAAUAGCUC